GAUGAACGCUGGCGGCGUGCCUAAUACAUGCAAGUCGAGCGAACAGACGAGGAGCUUGCUCCUCUGACGUUAGCGGCGGACGGGUGAGUAACACGUGGAUAACCUACCUAUAAGACUGGGAUAACUUCGGGAAACCGGAGCUAAUACCGGAUAAUAUAUUGAACCGCAUGGUUCAAUAGUGAAAGACGGUUUUGCUGUCACUUAUAGAUGGAUCCGCGCCGCAUUAGCUAGUUGGUAAGGUAACGGCUUACCAAGGCAACGAUGCGUAGCCGAUCUGAGAGGGUGAUCGGCCACACUGGAACUGAGACACGGUCCAGACUCCUACGGGAGGCAGCAGUAGGGAAUCUUCCGCAAUGGGCGAAAGCCUGACGGAGCAACGCCGCGUGAGUGAUGAAGGUCUUCGGAUCGUAAAACUCUGUUAUUAGGGAAGAACAAAUGUGUAAGUAACUAUGCACGUCUUGACGGUACCUAAUCAGAAAGCCACGGCUAACUACGU
rnacentral:rRNA from 1 species